CUUCUUGUUUGUUUCUUCUCUUCUUCCAUUUUUACUUCACCACCUGUUUCACUACCAGGGCUUUUAUUUUGAAACGCAGUCAGAGCGGCGCAGACGCCAGCUUUUAUUUUGAAGGCUACACCGUCUCUCCCAGCAAAGUGUGAAACCAGGCAGGUCUAAUCUGGAUCCAGGUUCCGGUCCUGGACCUCAGAAACAGUUCAGACACUUACUGACCCGGACGAGCCGCCGCUAAGCCCCGCCCACCUCCCCAGCAGCCGAUCGUUCAUUGGUCCGUGCAGAUGACCCGUCCUCUCCGGAUUGUGUGUCCAGCUGCGGGUUUUUGUCUCUGAUCAGUGGACUGAGAGAAAGCGGUUUGCCUCGCGCCCCACGCAGCUCCUCCAGCUCUCGCUGUGCAGCCGUCUCUGUGAGCGUCUCCCUCUUAUUGGCAGCAGCUGCAGCAGUGUUACACCUGCCCCUCCAAAGGUCUCUGCACAGCUGAGUGUUAACGGUGCGUCUGACAGAUGUUCAGGAGCUGCAGACAAAAUCAGGCAAAUACCUUUUGAUCAGAAGAACUGUGAGGCCGAGACAGCCACACCCUCUGCCCCCCCGGCCUGUUACUGCGUCACACAGAAACCAGUCAAAGCUGUGGUGUUAUUGAAGCAGGUGGAGCAGGUGCAGAGAAUUCCAAUUCCAGCGGUGUCAGUGACCGCAGGUGUAACGUCUUUUCAGUGGCACGAGGACACUCGUAUCUGCGGAUAUCUGAUAGCGAGCCUUUCUGAUCAGCUGAGCAGCGGCAGAGAGGAAAACCUGCAGACUGAAGUUUGAUUUAUAAUCCAGCUACUUAACAGACUGAAGAGGAACUCUUCAUAAAAAUGGCCUCAAGGCAAAGAAGGAGCACAGAGCUGCCUCUUGAACUGUCUGAAAUAAUUGACAAACUUAUCAAACAUGCAGAUUCAUUCAUCAAAGACUUUGACAACAGUGAACACAAGAUGAGAGAGAUUGUAGGAGAGAUUCAGAAGAUCACUGCUGAAGUAGAACAGAUGCAGAAGGAAACGGAUGCAGUCAGAACAACAGCAGUUGUUCCUGGAGGAGUUGGACUUGGACUUUUGAUCCUUGCAGCUCUCUUCACUGGGGGGCUGAGCUUAUUAGCAGGAGCAGCUGCCAGAGGACCAGCAGAAGCAGCAGUAGUAGUAGGAUUAGCAGCAUUAACAGCAGUAGCAGCAGUAGCAGUAGCAAUAAGAGCAGCAUUAGAAGGAGCAGGAGCAGCAGUAGCAGAAGGAGCAGCUGUAGGAGCA